AAGUCUCCAAGGAGGUGGUACUUGUAAAGUACACGGCAGGUGCUUUAUAAAUGCUUAAGUGUUUAAACGGACCCAAACAGGGAGCAGAAUCAACAGGGAGUGUCUUGUCAUUCUCAGCCAUUCACUAAGCACCCACCAUGUGCCAGAGCUGGGCGGGGACCAGGAAGGCCCCCAUGGGUAAGAUGCAGAAACAUAGGCCCACGGAGAAAGGGUGAACGGGUGCCAGGGCCCAGAUGGUGGCUAAUUGCUGACUUAGGCUUCUCCACCCAGAGGCCCAGAGAGACAAAGUCCAGAGCUACACGCCUUGGCGGCUGGGAGGCCCUGCCCUCCUGUCCUCAAAGCCAUCUCCCCUCCUCCAUCGUGGAAGUUGGCCUCCUAUGGCCUGAGGGGUUCAAUUUUAUGAGGGGGUCCAGGCGCCAGGGAACAAGGCUAUUUCCUGGCAUGAAGCUGAGAAUGGGAGCAAAGACUGGAAUAUUAUGCAGCCAUGAAUAGCAGAGAAGCACCAACACUGGCUACAUGGAUGGACCCUGAAAACACGAUGCUCGGAACCAGGCUCUGCCAAGAGAUGGCUGAUGCCAAGAGAUGGCUGAUGCCAAGAGUGGAACAGGAAAGGGACAAGAUGAGCUUGGAACAUCUUGUAGGACCAGAACAGAAGGUGAAGAUGGGGGCCACUUUAGAGGAGCUUCUAAAUAGGGGACUAAUUAGGCAACAGUUUGAGCCUCUCAGUAAAUAAUACCAGAUAGUUGCCCAUGGCAACCAUUGUGCUAAUGAUUCAGGUGAGAAUGCUAAAAUGGAUUAGUGAAAGUUUGAUGAGAGACAGGAUAUAUACAUGAUCCCAAAGCACAUCUUCACCAGAUACUCAUUACUUACAAAGGGAAGAUAGCAACCACCAUGACCCAGAUCACAUCACCAGAAAUGAGACAAAGGGACAUAAAUGCACCUCCUAAUAUGAUGCACUGAGGAAGACACAGCAUCACUUCUGAAAUGUUCCCGUCAAAGAUGCACAAUGAAUCUGAUCGAGAGGCAACAGCAGAAAAAUCCAAACUGAGGGACAGUCUACAGAACAACUAGGCAAAGACGCCAAUGUCUUGAAUACAAAGCAAGUCUCAGGAACUGUUCUAGAUGGAAGGAAACUAACAGAUCUAAAUGCACUUUGCAAUCAGGAUUUUCUUUUACUAUAAAGGACAUUAUUGGGGCAACUGUGAAAUCCGAAUAUAGACCACGGAUUAGGUAAAAAAUAUUGUCAACAUUUUUUUUGGCUGUGCCCACGAUAUACAAAAAUUCCCAGGUCAGGGAUCAAACCCAAGUCACAGCAAUGACCACUGGAUCUUUAACCCACUGAGCCACCAGGGAACUCUUCCAUAUUAUUUUCUUGAUCACUUAUUUUGGACCGUUACACUGCGGUUCUGUAAGAGCAUAUCCUUGUUUGUAGAAAAUACCAACCAUGGAGAAUUUGGGGGUAAAGUACUAUUAUGCUUGCAACAAAGUCUUGAAUGGAUUAAAAAUAAAAAAGGAGAAGUUCCCUGGUAGCUCAGUGAGUUAAGGAUCCAGGAGUUGUCAUUGCUGUAGUGUGGGUUUGAUCCCUAGCCUGGGAAUUUCCACAUGCCCCAGGUGUGGUCUAAAGAAAGAAAGAAAGAAAGGAGGGGAAGAGUGAGAGAGGGUGCAAACUUGGUAAAUAUUCACAUUUGUAGAGUUCCCGUCCUGGCUCAGCGGAAACGAAUCCAACUGGGAACCAUGAGGUUGCUGGUUCGAUCCUGGGCCUCGCUCAGUGGGCUAAGGAUCCGGCAUUGCCAUGA